rnacentral:rRNA from 1 species
GGGUGAGUAACACGUGGAUAACCUACCUAUAAGACUGGGAUAACUUCGGGAAACCGGAGCUAAUACCGGAUAACAUAUUGAACCGCAUGGUUCAAUAGUGAAAGGCGGCUUUGCUGUCACUUAUAGAUGGAUCCGCGCCGUAUUAGCUAGUUGGUAAGGUAACGGCUUACCAAGGCAACGAUACGUAGCCGACCUGAGAGGGUGAUCGGCCACACUGGAACUGAGACACGGUCCAGACUCCUACGGGAGGCAGCAGUAGGGAAUCUUCCGCAAUGGGCGAAAGCCUGACGGAGCAACGCCGCGUGAGUGAUGAAGGUCUUCGGAUCGUAAAACUCUGUUAUCAGGGAAGAACAAAUGUGUAAGUAACUGUGCACAUCUUGACGGUACCUGAUCAGAAAGCCACGGCUAACUACGUGCCAGCAGCCGCGGUAAUACGUA